rnacentral:rRNA from 1 species
GACGAACGCUGGCGGCGCGCUUAACACAUGCAAGUCGAGCGAGAACCUGGGCUUCGGCCCUGGGAACAGCGGCGAACGGGUGAGUAACACGUGGGUAAUCUGCCCUUGACAUCGGGAUAGCCCGGGGAAACCCGGAUUAAUACCGAAUAGCCUCCGGAGCCUUCGGGCGCCGGAGAAAAGGUAGCUUCGGCCUCUGGUCAAGGAUGAGCCCGCGGCGGAUUAGCUUGUUGGCGGGGUAACGGCCCACCAAGGCGACGAUCCGUAGCUGGUCUGAGAGGACGAUCAGCCACACUGGGACUGAGACACGGCCCAGACUCCUACGGGAGGCAGCAGUGGGGAAUCUUGCGCCAAUGCGGGAAACCGUGACGCAGCGACGCCGCGUGGGGGAAGAAGGCCUUCGGGUUGUAAACCUCUUUCAGGAGGGACGAAGCCACUCGGGUUAAUAGCCCAGAGGGUGACGGUACCUCCAGAAGAAGCCCCGGCUAACUACGUGCCAGCCGCCGCCGUAAUAC